rnacentral:tRNA from 3 species
GGGCCGGUAGCUCAGCGGUUAGAGCUAACGACUCAUAAUCGUUCGGUCCCCGGUUCGAAUCCGGGCCGGCCCA